GACGAACGCUGGCGGCGUGCUUAACACAUGCAAGUCGAACGGAAAGGCCCUGCUUUUGUGGGGUGCUCGAGUGGCGAACGGGUGAGUAGCACGUGAGUAACCUGCCCUUGACUUUGGGAUAACUUCAGGAAACUGGGGCUAAUACCGGAUAGGAGCUCCUGCUGCAUGGUGGGGGUUGGAAAGUUUCGGCGGUUGGGGAUGGACUCGCGGCUUAUCAGCUUGUUGGUGGGGUAGUGGCUUACCAAGGCUUUGACGGGUAGCCGGCCUGAGAGGGUGACCGGCCCCAUUGGAACUGAGAUACGGCCCAGACUCGUACGGGAGGCAGCAGUGGGGAAUAUUACACAAUGGGCGGAAGCCUGAUGCAGCAACGCCGCGUGCGGGAUGACGGCCUGCGGGUUGUAAACCGCUGUCGCCUGUGACGAAGCGUGAGUGACGGUAAUGGGUAAAGAAGCACCGGCUAACUACGUG
rnacentral:rRNA from 1 species